rnacentral:snoRNA from 1 species
GUGUUCGGUGUUGAAUUCAAUUUCUUCGUCCCAGUGAUUCAUUCGGGAGCGUCGACUCAGCUUUAGUCACAACUUGUGUCACAC